rnacentral:rRNA from 1 species
UUCCCCUAGUAACGGCGAGUGAAGCGGGAAGAGCUCAAAUUUGAAAUCUGGCGGCAUCCUGUCGUCCGAGUUGUAAUCUAUAGAAGUGUUUUCCGCGCCGGACCAUGUACAAGUCCCUUGGAACAGGGCGUCAUAGAGGGUGAGAAUCCCGUCCUUGACAUGAUCCCCGGUUGCUAUGUGAUACACUUUCAACGAGUCGAGUUGUUUGGGAAUGCAGCUCAAAAUGGGUGGUGAAUUCCAUCUAAAGCUAAAUAUUGGCGAGAGACCGAUAGCGAACAAGUACCGUGAGGAAAGAUGAAAAGCACUUUGGAAAGAGAGUUAAACAGUACGUGAAAUUGUUGAAAGGGAAACGAUUGAAGUCAGUCAUGCUCUUUGGGUUAAGCCUUUCGGGGUGUAUUCCAUUGAGUGGGGUCAACAUCAGUUUUGACCGCUGGAAAAAGGCACGAGGAAGGUAGCACUUUCGGGUGAACUUAUAGCCUCGCGUCAUAUACAGUGGUUGGGACUGAGGAACGCAGCAUGCCUUAUGGCCGGGAUUCGUCCACGUACAUGCUUAGGAUGUUGACAUAAUGGCUUUAAACGACCCGUC